UUUUUUUUUAAGACAGAGUCUCACUGUGUCACCCAGGCCGGAGUGCAGUGGCACGAUCUUGGCUCACUGCAACUUCUGCCUCCCAGGCUCAAGGGAUUCUCCCACCUCAGCCUCCCAAGUAGCCGGGAUUACAGGUGUGGACCACCACGCCUGGCUAGUUUUUGUAUUUUUAGUAGAGAUGGGGUUUCGCCAUGUUGGCCAGGCUGGUCCUGAACUCCUGGCCUCAAGUGAUCCUCCAGCCUCAGCCUCCCAAAGUGCUGGGAUUACAGGCAUAAGCCAUUGUACCUGGCCAGUAAAAGAUUUUCAUGCAUAAAAAUAUAUUACAUUAGUAUAAAUUCUGUAGUAGUGAUAGAAUGGAAAUACAAGUUCAAAGAGAAAAGAAAAAAUGCAAAGUUUCCAAUUGUUAAGGAAGGGCUUGUAUAUUUAUUUUGUAAAUGGAUGGUGGUAUGUACCAGAUAGUUAUAACAUUCAGAUUGGACUGGAUACAUUUUAAACAAUGAUAUGGUAGUUUUUAUUUUAAAAUGUCAGUGUUUCAGCCAGGCACAGUGGCUCACACCUGUAAUCCCAGCACUUUUAGGAGCUUGAGCUAGGCAGAUUGCCUGAUGUCAGUAGUUUGAGACCAGCCUGGGCAAUGUGGUGAAAACCCGUCUCUACUAAAAAAAAAAUACAAAAAAUUAGCUGGGUGUGGUGGCGCACGCCUGUAGUCCUAGCUGCUUGGGAGGCUGAGGCAGGAGAAUUGCUUGAACCAGGGAGGCGGAGGUUGCAGUGAGUCGAGAUCGUGCCACUGCAGUCCAGCCUGGGCAACAGAGCCAGACUCUGUCUCAAACAUCAAUAAAUAAAUAAAAUGGCAGUGUUUCCAAUGCACUUGGAAUCACAUCUCCAACUAUAUUUGAUUUAAAAAACCUUAGAUGUCAACUUUUAAAAUGGGAAAGGCAAACAUGAACAGUGUUUGAAAGCCUCUUUCUAGCACACCUGUGCACUCUGCUGGCCCCCACCAGUUGUAGGACAACCACGACUACAGUGUUAGCUGCACAUCUGCUCACGCCACUUGCAUUGGUUAAUGUAAUCAUCCUGCUGCAUUUAAAAUUACGUAAUAAACUGCAAAAAUAGAGCUGUUAAGAGAGUUAUUUCUAGGAAAACUAGUUGAAUGCUUGGGAAAGACAUACUGAGUCACUAAAUAUAAUUUGGUUAAAUUAGGUGUAGGUGUAAAAGAUGGGGGAAGACUGCUUCACAUGUUUCUUUUCCUAAGUUCUUGCUCUCCUUUAAAAGAAAAAAAAAAAACAGACAAAUAUCAAAAACCAGAAGUUGUAAUCCAGUGUUUGCCAAGGUUUCUUGGUAAGAAUUACCUGGGUCAUUUGCUAACUACACAGAUAAACAGGCAUCUUCCCCCUAGAAAUUCUGAUUCAGGAAGUCUAGGUGGGGGCCUUGGGAUCUGAUUUUCCUGGUUGUCUGUUUUGUUUUAUAAAAUAAGGGCUGGAGUCAUUCGUAUCUUCAGGGGUAUUUGGGGAACACGAGGAAGAUUAUGGAUACGACAAGAAAGGUGAGCUCCAAUCAGCAGAUCCCUACUCAAACAAAAGGCCUUUAGCUCUAUUCCAAAAAAAAAAAAAAAAGCAGGCCAAGUGUGUUGGCUCACGCCUGUAAUCCCAGCACUUCGGGAGGCUAAGGCAGGUGGAUCUCUUGAGGCCAGGAGUUUGAGACCUGUCUGACCAACAUGGUGAAAUCCCGUCUCUACUAAAAAUACAAAAAUUAGCCAGGUGUGGUGGUGCACGCCUGUAAUCCCAGCUACUCGGGAGGCUUAGGUGGGAGGACUGCUUGAGCCCGGGAGGCAAAGUUUCCAGUAAACCAAGAUUGCGCCACUGCACUCCAGCCUGGGCAACAGAGCAAGACUCUGUCUUAAAACAAAACAAAACAAAAAACAAACAAAAAGCAAAUGAAGGUAGAUUUAUGCUUUAUAUCAAAAUGUUUAAAGUAUGUAUGUGUCCUUUUCUAUUAGUCUUGUUUUCAGUGGCUUUUUGAAUGAACAGACCAACUAAGCCCUGACUGCAUGGACUAGGAGGGCUUCCCUACCCGCCCUUGACAGCACAGCCAGGGAGAGCGCUGGACUUCCCUAACACACACGGUCAACUAUCGCUUCAAAGCAGUGACCUCUUCACACCCUAGAUAGGUAGCAGGCCCAAUGUGGCCCAAAGGCUGCUGUUUGCUCACUCCUGGGUCUAGAAGAAAACAUACUAAACUGCUAACGGUAACUAUUUCUGGAUAGCAGAACUAUGGGCGAUUUCUAAUUUCCUCUUUAUAAUGUGAUAAUUUUUGCAUGUUCUCAAUUAAAUUUAAUCAUAAGCAUGUAUUAUUUAAAAAACCAAUAGCAUGUUCUUUUCUUUGUUUUUGGUGGGGCUGGGGGAGGAGGCUUUGAGAUGCCCAAGACAUGCAUGGUUUCCUAUUUUAAUACAAAUUCUUAUUCAUUGUUUCUCAGUUUUUCUAUAGGAUACCACAAAGACCUCUCAACAUACAUUUGAAGGAAAGGAAGAAAUGGAGGGAGGAGAGAAGGCGGGAAGGAAAGAAGCAAGGGAGGGAGGAAGGAAAAGAGGAGAGGGGGAAGGAAAAAAUAACAAACUCCAGUCCUGUCCUGGGGUUAGGGAAGGGCAUGACCCACCACUAGACAUAAAUCACAGUGGGCGAGCUCUCUGUCAACCUCCUCCAGAAUGGCAGGAUCCAGGUUUUCUCCAAACCACACGACGUGAGGUCGCAGCAAGCCCCCGCAGCCUGCCUCUUCACACCU